UACCUUUGCCGGGUAUUUGGUCCCGUAUUGGGAUAAUAGGGAAACAGGUGAGAUUCCUGUACAGUUCCCGCUGCUGUAAUUUCGUAAUUUUUUUGCCAUCAGGCCACUGUCUGCAUCGUUUGGACGGGAAGGCGGCAAAGAGUAGGAUAAGUCAGAAGACCUGCCGGAUACAAAGGGUUUUA
rnacentral:ncRNA from 2 species